rnacentral:rRNA from 1 species
UGGGGAAUUUUGGACAAUGGGCGCAAGCCUGAUCCAGCAAUGCCGCGUGAGUGAAGAAGGCCUUCGGGUUGUAAAGCUCUUUCAGUCGAGAAGAAAAGGUUGUGACCAAUAAUCACAACUCAUGACGGUAUCGACAGAAGAAGCACCGGCUAACUACGUGCCAGCAGCCGCGGUAAUACGUAGGGUGCGAGCGUUAAUCGGAAUUACUGGGCGUAAAGGGUGCGCAGGCGGUUUUGUAAGUCAGAUGUGAAAUCCCCGGGCUUAACCUGGGAACUGCGUUUGAAACUACAAGACUAGAGUGUGGCAGAGGGGGGUGGAAUUCCAUGUGUAGCAGUGAAAUGCGUAGAGAUAUGGAAGAACAUCGAUGGCGAAGGCAGCCCCCUGGGUUAACACUGACGCUCAUGCACGAAAGCGUGGGGAGCAAACAGGAUUAGAUACCCGAGUAGUCCCUGAGCGGGC